AGUGAACGCUGGCGGUAGGCCUAACACAUGCAAGUCGAACGGCAGCACAGUAAGAGCUUGCUCUUACGGGUGGCGAGUGGCGGACGGGUGAGGAAUACAUCGGAAUCUACUUUUUCGUGGGGGAUAACGUAGGGAAACUUACGCUAAUACCGCAUACGACCUACGGGUGAAAGCAGGGGAUCUUCGGACCUUGCGCGAUUGAAUGAGCCGAUGUCGGAUUAGCUAGUGGGCGGGGUAAAGGCCCACCAAGGCGACGACCCGUAGAUGGUCUGAGAGGAUUGUCAGCCACACUUGAAAUGAAACACGGUCCAGACUCCUACGGGAGGCAGCAGUGGGGAAUAUUGGACAAUGGGCGCAAGCCUGAUCCAGCCAUACCGCGUGGGUGAAGAAGGCCUUCGGGUUGUAAAGCCCUUUUGUUGGGAAAGAAAAGCAGCAGGUUAAUACCCCGCUGUUCUGACGGUACCCAAAGAAUAAGCACCGGCUAACUUCGUG
rnacentral:rRNA from 1 species